rnacentral:snoRNA from 1 species
AAUGGCAGACAAUCAACAUGGCAUCAGUUCAGUCCACCCGUCUGCACUUCUUCAUCAUU